rnacentral:rRNA from 1 species
GACGGAGGGUGCUAGCGUUGUUCGGAAUGACUGGGCGUAAAGGGCGCGUAGGCGGCUCGUGAAGUCGGGUGUGAAAUCCCCGAGCUUAACUCGGGAACUGCCAUGGAUACUAUUUGUCUUGAAUAUUGUGGAGGUAAGCGGAAUAUGUCAUGUAGCGGUGAAAUGCUUAGAUAUGACAUAGAACACCAAUUGCGAAGGCAGCUUACUACACAGUUAUUGACGCUGAGGCACGAAAGCGUGGGGAUCAAACAGG